rnacentral:rRNA from 1 species
AAUGAACGCUGGCGGCAUGGAUUAGGCAUGCAAGUCGAACGGACCGGCUUUCGCAAGAGAGACGGUCAGUGGCGAAAGGGUGAGCAACACGUGAGUAACCUGCCCCCGAGUCCGGGAUAGCCCGCGGAAACGCGGAUUAAUACCGGAUGUGGUACUCUGCCGCAUGGCAGAGCCACUGAAGAUUUAUCGCUGCGGGGCUGGACUCGCGGCCCAUAAGCUGGUUGGCGGGGUAACGGCCCACCAAGGCUAUGACGGGUAGGUGGUCUGAGAGGAUGGUCACCCACACUGGGACUGAGACACUGCCCAGACGCCUACGGGAGGCUGCAGUCGAGAAUCUUCCGCAAUGGGCGCAAGCCUGACGGAGCGAUGCCGCGUGAGGGAUGAAGGCCUUCGGGUUGUAAACCUCUGUCAGAGGGGACGAAGAAUGCGACGGUACCCUCAGAGGAAGCCACGGCUAACUACGUGCCAGCCGCCGCGGUAACAC